rnacentral:misc_RNA from 1 species
ACUCUUCCUCGUACUCAGAGCUAGCUUUCCAAGCGUAGGGAUGGACAACUGUCAUCUUGGGAUCCCUGAGAAAUGAUCAUGUUGAGAUGGAGAAACAAGGGCCCUGUGGUAGAAGCUAGUCAGUGACCUCUGAACAAGAAAUGUUAUUGUUCCUAAAGUAGAUAUGUCAUUAAAGAACUGGAUACUACUCCUACUGAUCUAUAUCCUCUAUCUAUGCCUGGGUGGUCUGAUCUUUAAUACCCUUGAGUGCCCAAAAUUCCAGGAAUCAAGAGAUGAAGAUGUGCAGAAGCAGGAAAAUACAUCGAGAUCUCUAACUGAUCUGAAGGUUGGAUUAUCUCCGGACCAAGUUGAUCAUUUAGACCUCAUUCUGCUCGCCUUUACUGAUGGUGAAGUGAACGGGAAUGUGACCGAUCCUGAAGAUUGUGAAAAAUGGGAUUUCUAUAAUUCUCUUUUCUUCUCUUUCACUGCUGUAACAACUAUAGGGUAUGGUCACCAGGCACCUGAGACUAAUUAUGGAAGGUUGGUUUGUGUCUUCUAUUCCUUGGUUGGAAUACCUCUCAACGCUAUCCUUAUUGGAGCUCUAGGUUCCUUGUUCAGCAAUAAGAUAAUAGCCCUGAAAGACCGGGUCCAGAUAGCUGAUGGAACAGGAUUGAAGGGGAUGGGGAAGGUUGGAAGGAUUGUUCUAGAAGGAAUUCUACUUUUUCUUAUCUUUACAUCAAUCUUCCUUUUCCUACCCGCAGCCCUCUUCACCUAUGGGGGUUUAGAGGACAAGUCCUGGGAGUAUAUAGACAGUCUCUACUAUUCAUUCAUUACUCUUUCCACCAUAGGCUUCGGAGAUAUGGUUGCAGGGCGGAAUAGCGACCAGAUCAACCCUGUGACGAAGAUGUUGUAUCAAGUGACGAUUAUAACCUGGAUUAUAUUCGGGAUGGGGUUUAUUGUCGGGAUCAUCAAUGUUCUGGUGGAAGCUCUUCAGUUCUCAGGUAAACCUGUAAAGCGAGCAAUUCGUGGCUUGAAGAACCAGAUCCUGGUGCAGGACUACUGGAGGAAAAUCUUGAACGAGAUCAUCAUCUUGAAGCACGGUGAGGGGGUCUGGGUCGACGAGGAGCUGAUGGAGGGUGCAGGAGGAGGAUCAGAACCAUGUCUUGGAGUUGUUGACAUGUCCUCCGGAGAUUGGAGCGCGACGCGUUCUGUUUCCACCGGAGAUAUGGAGGCGAGCCUGGCGCAGGACGGAGAUAAGGUGGUCCAAGGACAGUCCUUGCAAUCCUUGACUCCAGGGAAUGAUCUGUCCGAUAUCCAGGAGCUGAAUGAAGAUACGAUCUCAUCCCUGAGAAACUUCUUGACAACAGCUAAUGUUGGAGCAGGAGGAGAUGCUAAACUGGCAGAGUGGAUGGAAAAUAACUUCCCAGGAAGAAAUAGUUUGACUGAGACGCGACCAGUUACUCGAAAAAAUAGCACUCAUUCCCAGUAUAGUAAUACUGUUAUUCCCAGACAGGAUAGAGGUAGAGGAAGACGACGUUCCUUGAAUAUUCCCCGUAAACUGAGCAGGCGGCACAGUACAACUAGUAAUCAGAGUGGGGUUAGUCAUAGAAGUACUGUCAGUACAGGAGGGCCUGUUGAGCAAUUGCUUGAACAGACGACCCUGGGAGAGUUCUUAACAGCUGUAGAGAACGUUAGAGCUAAAAGUGAAGCAGAGCUUAUGGUGAGUGUAGAUGUAGAAGAAGGAGAAAGAUCUAGGAAAAAUUCCAUCUUCAGAAAACUAUCCGCCAUCAGCACCAGGAGUAUAGGCCGGGAGCGGCAGGACAAUAAGGAUCAGGGUCCCUUAACUUUAAAGCAAGUGACCAGCCUGCUUGCCUUCCAGAAAUAUGCAGAGGAAGCAUCCGAAUCAACUAGUGAAAAAAGUAGCAACGGACAUUUAAUGGUUCCAUCAAAGAAGAACUCAACAGUUGGACUACAUAAUUACAUCUAAACUGAUACUGUGAGCUAUUUUUUCCAUAGCUCUAGAUCAUACUUAGAGUUUAGUGUUAAGCCUUAUUAUAGAGCAGCACUUUCAAUUAUUCAAACCUUUCUUAAUAUUUAUCUCCAUCUUUAUAUACACCCAAGAAAAAUCAUUGUCCAUUCAUCUUUGUACUAUGUACAAUAUAUGUAAUAAUUAGAGUUUAAGGAAAAGAACUUCAUAAUUUUCCUGGAGAAACUUAAAUUUGAAUUGAGACAGUUUCUCAUUUGAUUCCAAUGCAUUGUAAAGCGCAGGGCUGUGCUUCAAGUUGAUACUGUUCGUAGAUUAUAUUUAUUUUUCUAUGACAAAUACAUAUAUAUUUUACAGUUUA